GGGGCAUUUUUAACCAGGUUUUCCGAAGGAAAAAACUGGUUAUUAGAUUGGCGAAUGCGGGCGGGCUGGCUGGCUGGCUGGCUGGCUGGCUGGCUGGCUGGCGGGCUGGCUGGCUGGCUGGCGGGCUGGCGGAAUAAGCUUGUCCGGGCCAUAACUAUGUCGUUCAUUGUCAGAUUUUAAAAUCAUUUGGCACAUUUGUUCACCAUCAUUGGACGGUGUGUCGCGCGAAAUAAUUACGUAGAUAUCUCCAAGGUCAAGGUCACACUUUGAGUUCAAAGGUCAAA